CAGUGAAUUCCCAAUAACAAUUGGCUUACACCAAGGUUCAGCUCUAAGCCUGUAUUUGCUUGCACUAAUCAUGGAUGAGUUGGUGAAACAUUCAAGAUCAGAUCCCUUAGUGUAUGCUUUUGCGGAUGAUAUUGUUUUAGUGGAUGAAACAAAUGCUAGGAUAAACACAAAGUUGGAUUUACAGAAAUCAACUUUAGAAUCAAAAGGUUUUAAGAUAAGUAAAACAAAAACAAAGUAUAUUAUGUGUAGCUUUAGUAACAAUAGGAUUGAGAGAGAGGUGGUGAAAAUUGAUGAUAUGGAGUUACCACACAAUAAGAACUUUAGAUACCUAGGUUCAAUCAUGAAUAAAGAAGGAGAAAUACAGGAUGAUGUUGUACAAAGAAUAAAAAUAGGGUGGACGAAAUGGAGGGGGUGCAUCUGGAAUGUUGUGUGGUAGACAUAUCACUUAAAACUCAAAAGAGAAAUUUUAUAGAAGAGUUAUACAACCAGAAAUGACGUAUGGAGCUGAAUGUUGGGCAUUAAAGAAAAAACAUUUAAACAAACUUAAUGAGACUAAAAUGAGGAUGUUGUGGGGGAUGAGUGGUAAAACUAAAAAAGAUAAAUGAAGAAUGAACAAAUUAGAGCAAACCUUGGAGUUGCCCCUAUUCAUGAUAAGUAGAGAGAAACUCACCUAAGGUGGCAUAGACAUGUGCAAUGGAGGCCUUUGAAUGCUCUAGUACGGAGAAGUGAUUUAUUUCAAAUUGAAGGAGAUAAAAGAGCUAAAGGUGGGUCUAUAAUAACCAUAGUAGAUGUG